rnacentral:rRNA from 1 species
AGAGCGCAAGGGGAAUGCCUUGGCACUGAGAGCCGAAGAAGGACGCGACUAACUGCGAUAAGCCACGGGGAGCCGUAAGUAGGCAUUGAUCCGUGGAUUUCCGAAUGGAGCAAUCCGGCUGGAGUCAUGUCCAGUCACCGUAUUCUGAAUCCAUAGGGAUACGGGGGGAACCGCCUGAACUGAAACAUCUAAGUAGGGCGAGGAAAAGAAAUCAACCGAGAUUCCGCUAGUAGUGGCGAGCGAACGCGGAAGAGGCCAAACCAGAGGUAGCAAUACCUUUGGGGUUCGGACAGCGCACGGUAUGGAAGGUAUCUAGCAGAAUGGCAUGGGAAGGCCAACGAGACAGGGUGAGAGUCCCGUAUGCGAAAGAGAAGAUCCGCCAGCUGAAUCCAGAGUACCGCCGGACACGUGAAACCCGGUGGGAAGACGGGGGGACCAUCCUCCAAGCCUAAAUACUACUCAGUGACCGAUAGUGAAGAGUACUGUGAAGGAAAGGUGAAAAGCACCCCGGGAGGGGAGUGAAAGAGAACCUGAAACCUUGUGCUUACAAGCACCGAGAGCCCGUCAACGGGUGAUCGGGUACCUUUUGUAGAAUGGUCCGGCGAGUGAAUGUAACUGGCGAGGUUAAGGACUUAAGGUCCGGAGCCGUAGCGAGAGCAAGUCUGAAUAGGGCGUAUGAAGUCAGUUGUAUUCGACCCGAAACCGGGUGACCUACCCAUGUCCAGGUUGAAGUGGAGGUAAAACUCCAUGGAGGACCGAACCGACUCCCGUUGAAAUGGUAGCGGAUGAGGUGUGGGUAGCGGAGAAAUUCCAAUCGAACCCGGAGAUAGCUGGUUCUCUCCGAAAUAGCUUUAGGGCUAGCCUCAUAUUAGAUUACUGGAGGUAAAGCACUGAAUGGGCUAGGGGCCGAGAGGUUACUGAACCCUAUCAAACUCAGAAUGCCAGAUAAUUGAUGUAUGGGAGUCAGACAGUGUGAGAUAAGUUUCAUUGUCAAAAGGGAAACAGCCCAGACCCACAGCUAAGGUCCCAAAGUAUGGUUAAGUGGAAAAGGAUGUGGGGUUGCUUAGACAACCAGGAUGUUGGCUUAGAAGCAGCCACUCAUUAAAAGAGUGCGUAAUAGCUCACUGGUCGAGUGACCCUGCGCCGAAAAUUUAACGGGGCUAAAUCAUACACCGAAGCUUGGGAUUGACAGAUAUUCUUCAUGUUUUCAGGCAGGAUAGGAAAGAGAGAAAAUCUGAUGACGCCGAAGAAUGAGGCGGCAUUAAAUUUCUGUUCAAGUAAAAGCAUGAAGAUGUGAAGAAUAUCUGUCGAUGGUAGGAGAGCGUUCUAUGCGGGGAGAAGUCUGAGCGGAAGCGCAGGUGGACUGCAUAGAAGUGAGAAUGCCGGAAUGAGUAGCGCGAAAUAUGUGAGAAUCAUAUUGGCCGAAAGUCUAAGGUUUUUGGAGGAAGGUUCGUCCGCUCCAAGUAAGUCGGGAGCUAAGGCGAGGCCGAAAGGCGUAGUCGAUGCACAUACGGUAGAUAUUCCGUAACCGCCGAAGGAUUAAAGCAAAGGGACACCUGCAAAGCGUGUAACCCGGGCGAUGGUUGCCCCGGGCGUAAGGGACCGAAAUUUAGUAGGGAAGUACAUGUAGAGCAGGGCGAGAAAAGCUUUGUGUAUAUCCAAGGCGCCCGUACCGCAAACCGACACAGGUAGAUAGGAAGAGAAUUCUAAGGCCAACGGGAGAAGGGUAGUUAAGGAACUCGGCAAAUUGGUCCCGUAACUUAGGGAAAAGGGACGCUCCAGAGAUGGAGCCGCAGUGAAUAGGCCCAGGCGACUGUUUAGCAAAAACACAGGUCUCUGCCAAAUCGAAAGAUGAAGUAUAGGGGCUGACACCUGCCCGGUGCUGGAAGGUUAAGAGGAGAUGUGCAAGCAUUGAAUUGAAGCCCCAGUAAACGGCGGCCGUAACUAUAACGGUCCUAAGGUAGCGAAAUUCCUUGUCGGGUAAGUUCCGACCCGCACGAAUGGUGUAACGAUCUGGGCACUGUCUCAACUACCCGCCCGGCGAAAUUGUAGUACCGGUGAAGAUGCCGGUUACCCGCGACAAGACGGAAAGACCCCAUGGAGCUUUACUGUAGCUUGAUAUUGGGUUUCGGUAAUUUAUGUACAGGAUAGGCGGGAGACUAGGAAGCCAGUACGCCAGUAUUGGUGGAGUCGUCCUUGGGAUACCGCUCUUAAGUUGCUGGAAUUCUAACCUGCGGCCGUGAAUCCGGCCGGGGGACAUUGUCAGGUGGGCAGUUUGACUGGGGCGGUCGCCUCCAAAAGAGUAACGGAGGCGCUCAAAGGU